GAUGAAGAACGUAGCGAAAUGCGAUAAGUAAUGUGAAUUGCAGAAUUCAGUGAAUCAUCGAAUCUUUGAACGCACAUUGCGCCCGCCAGUAUUCUGGCGGGCAUGCCUGUUCGAGCGUCAUUUCAACCAUCAAGCCCCAGGCUUGUGUUGGAGCCCUGCGGCUGCCGCAGCCUCCCAAAACCAGUGGCGGGCUCGCUAUCACACCGAGUGCAGUAGUUUACUCUUCGCUCAGGGCGUGUGGCGGGUGCUAGCCGUAAAACCCCCAACUUCUCAAGGUUGACCUCGGAUCAGGUAGGAAUACCCGCUGAACUUAAGCAUAUCAAUAAGCUGAGGA
rnacentral:misc_RNA from 1 species